UCUUUAUCGGAGAGUUUGAUCCUGGCUCAGGACGAACGCUGGCGGCGUGCCUAAUACAUGCAAGUCGAGCGGACUUAAAAAG
rnacentral:rRNA from 1 species